rnacentral:rRNA from 1 species
GACGAACGCUGGCGGCGUGCCUAAUACAUGCAAGUAGAACGCUGAAGGAGGAGCUUGCUUCUCUGGAUGAGUUGCGAACGGGUGAGUAACGCGUAGGUAACCUGCCUGGUAGCGGGGGAUAACUAUUGGAAACGAUAGCUAAUACCGCAUAAUAUUGACUAUUGCAUGAUAGUCAGUUGAAAGGUGCAACUGCGCCACUACCAGAUGGGCCUGCGUUGUAUUAGCUAGUUGGUGGGGUAACGGCUCACCAAGGCGACGAUACAUAGCCGACCUGAGAGGGUGAUCGGCCACACUGGGACUGAGACACGGCCCAGACUCCUACGGGAGGCAGCAGUAGGGAAUCUUCGGCAAUGGACGGAAGUCUGACCGAGCAACGCCGCGUGAGUGAAGAAGGUUUUCGGAUCGUAAAGCUCUGUUGUAAGAGAAGAACGAGUGUGAGAGUGGAAAGUUCACACUGUGACGGUAUCUUACCAGAAAGGGACGGCUAACUACGUGC